rnacentral:rRNA from 1 species
ACUCAAAGGAAUAGACGGGGGCCCGCACAAGCGGUGGAGCAUGUGGUUCAAUUCGACGCAACGCGAAGAACCUUACCCAGGCUCGAAAUGUAGGGGACACCCGUGGAAACACGGUCUCUCUUCGGAGUCCUUAUAUAGGUGCUGCAUGGCUGUCGUCAGCUCGUGUCGUGAGAUGUUGGGUUAAGUCCCGCAACGAGCGCAACCCUUGUCGUUAGUUACCAGCGGGUAAAGCCGGGAACUCUAACGAGACUGCCUGUGACAAACAGGAGGAAGGUGGGGAUGACGUCAAGUCCUCAUGGCCCUUACGUCUGGGGCUACACACGUGCUACAAUGGCUGGUACAGAGAGAAGCAAGACCGCGAGGUGGAGCAAAUCUCCAAAACCAGUCCCAGUUCGGAUUGGAGUCUGAAAUUCGACUCCAUGAAGUUGGAAUCGCUAGUAAUCGCGGAUCAGAACGCUGCGGUGAAUACGUUCCCGGGCCUUGUACACACCGCCCGU